rnacentral:rRNA from 1 species
CAGUAGCCGCGGUAAUACGAAGGGGGCUAGCGUUGCUCGGAAUGACUGGGCGUAAAGGGCGCGUAGGCGGUGGCCAAAGUCAGGCGUGAAAUUCCUGGGCUCAACCUGGGGGCUGCGCUUGAUACUUGGUUGCUUGAGUGGGGAAGAGGGUCGUGGAAUUCCCAGUGUAGAGGUGAAAUUCGUAGAUAUUGGGAAGAACACCGGUGGCGAAGGCGGCGACCUGGUCCUUGACUGACGCUGAGGCGCGAAAGCGUGGGGAGCAAACAGGAUUAGAUACCCCUGUAGUCCCUGUCUCUUAUAC